rnacentral:rRNA from 1 species
GAUGAACGCUGGCGGCGUGCCUAAUACAUGCAAGUCGAGCGAACAGACGAGGAGCUUGCUCCUCUGACGUUAGCGGCGGACGGGUGAGUAACACGUGGAUAACCUACCUAUAAGACUGGGAUAACUUCGGGAAACCGGAGCUAAUACCGGAUAAUAUAUUGAACCGCAUGGUUCAAUAGUGAAAGACGGUUUUGCUGUCACUUAUAGAUGGAUCCGCGCCGCAUUAGCUAGUUGGUAAGGUAACGGCUUACCAAGGCAACGAUGCGUAGCCGACCUGAGAGGGUGAUCGGCCACACUGGAACUGAGACACGGUCCAGACUCCUACGGGAGGCAGCAGUAGGGAAUCUUCCGCAAUGGGCGAAAGCUUGACGGAGCAACGCCGCGUGAGUGAUGAAGGUCUUCGGAUCGUAAAACUCUGUUAUUAGGGAAGAACAAAUGUGUAAGUAAGUAUGCACGUCUUGACGGUACCUAAUCAGAAAGCCACGGCUAACUACGUG